GUGCCAGCCGCCGCGGUAAGACAGAGGGUGCAAACGUUGUUCGGAAUUACUGGGCGUAAAGCGCGUGUAGGCUGUCGUGCAAGUCGGGUGUGAAAGCCCGGGGCUCAACCCCGGAAGUGCACUCGAAACUGCAUGACUAGAGUCCUGGAGAGGGAGGCGGAAUUCUGGGUGUAGAGGUGAAAUUCGUAGAUAUCCAGAGGAACACCGGUGGCGAAGGCGGCCUCCUGGACAGUGACUGACGCUGAGACGCGAAAGCGUGGGGAGCAAACAGGAUUAGAAACCCCCGUAGUCC
rnacentral:rRNA from 1 species